UCGGUCUCUAUCUGUUGUGGGCGCAGGAGAUUUGCGAGGCCCCGACACUAGUACGAGAGGACCGUGUUGGACCGACCACCGGUGAGCCGGUUGUACCGCCAGGUGCACUGCCGGGUAGCCGCGUCGGGACAGGAUAAGUGCUGAAAGCAUCUAAGCACGAAGCCCCCCUCAAGAUAAGAUCUCCACACAAGGGCCGUCAGAGACGAUGACGUUGAUAGGUCGCAGGUGUACAUGCAGCAAUGCACUCAGCCGAGCGAUACUAAUCGCCCAACCCCUUUCUUGGG
rnacentral:rRNA from 1 species